UACAGAGGGGGCAAGCGUUGUUCGGAAUUACUGGGCGUAAAGGGCGCGUAGGCGGCCAUCUAAGUCAGACGUGAAAUCCCCCGGCUUAACCUGGGAACUGCGUCUGAUACUGGAAGGCUUGAGUAUGGGAGAGGGAUGUAGAAUUCCAGGUGUAGCGGUGAAAUGCGUAGAUAUCUGGAGGAAUACCGGUGGCGAAGGCGGCAUCCUGGACCAUUACUGACGCUGAGGAGCGAAAGCUAGGGGAGCAAACGGG
rnacentral:rRNA from 1 species